rnacentral:rRNA from 1 species
CCCUUAGAUGUUCUGGGCCGCACGCGUGCUACACUGAGUGGAUCUGCGGGUCAGGUUGCGCGAAAGCGUUUCCUAAUCUUUAAAUCCGCUCGUGAUGGGGAUUGACGGUUGCAAUUUUCUGUCAUGAACGAGGAAUACCUUGUAAGCGCGGGUCAUCAUCCCGCGCUGAAUACGUCCCUGCCCUUUGUACACACCGCCCGUCGCUCCUACCGAUUGAGUGGUCCGGUGAGGCUUUGGGAUCUGAGCGGAAAGAGCGUUUCGCUGUUUCUGCUCGGAAAACUCAGUCGAACCUUAUCAUUUAGAGGAAGGAGAAGUCGUAACA